UACAGAGGUCCCGAGCGUUGUUCGGAUUCAUUGGGCGUAAAGGGUGCGUAGGCGGUCUGCUAAGUUUGAUGUGAAAUCCCGGGGCUUAACCCUGGAAUGGCAUUGAAUACUGGCGGACUCGAGUACCGGAGAGGAAACUGGAAUUUACGGUGUAGCAGUGAAAUGCGUAGAGAUCGUAAGGAAGACCAGUGGCGAAGGCGAGUUUCUGGACGGUAACUGACGCUGAGGCACGAAGGCCAGGGGAGCAAACGGG
rnacentral:rRNA from 1 species